AAUUUUCAGCUCAAUAUAUGU
rnacentral:snRNA from 1 species